rnacentral:rRNA from 1 species
UACGGAGGGUGCGAGCGUUGUCCGGAAUCACUGGGCGUAAAGGGCGCGUAGGUGGCGCGGCAAGUCAACGGUGAAAGCUCGACGCUCAACGUCGAGUCGGCCGUCGAUACUGCCGCGCUGGAGCACUGUAGAGGCUCAUGGAAUUCCGGGGUGUAGCGGUGGAAUGCGUAGAGAUCCGGAAGAACACCGGUGGCGAAGGCGGUGAGC